rnacentral:rRNA from 1 species
CGUCCAGACUCCUACGGGAGGCAGCAGUGGGGAAUAUUGCACAAUGGGGGGAACCCUGAUGCAGCGACGCCGCGUGGGUGAAGGAGCACCUCGGUGCGUAAAGCCCUAUCGGCAGGGAAGAAACAGACGGUACCUGACUAAGAAGCCCCGGCUAACUACGUGCCAGCAGCCGCGGUAAUACGUAGGGGGCAAGCGUUAUCCGGAUUCACUGGGUGUAAAGGGAGCGUAGACGGCGACGCAAGUCUGGAGUGAAAGCCCGGGGCCCAACCCCGGGACUGCUCUGGAAACUGCGGCGCUGGAGUACGGGAGGGGCAGGCGGAAUUCCUGGUGUAGCGGUGAAAUGCGUAGAUAUUAGGAGGAACACCAGUGGCGAAGGCGGCCUGCUGGACGACAACUGACGGUGAGGCGCGAAAGCGUGGGGAGCAAACAGGAUUGGAUACCCCCGUAGCA